rnacentral:sRNA from 1 species
GUAGCUGAAAUGAAAUUGCGAUUACAAAC